AUGCGGUGCACACACACGUGUGUAUGUGCGCCCACGGCCUGUCUGGGAGCCCGUGGCGAGGCACACGCAGGGCACUGGGGGGGUCUGGGCGCUGCCCAGCGCCUUCUGGGCUCCUCCCAGUUCCCAAACUGGGGCCGGCGACUCAGGCAGCGAGGGGACACAGGCAGCAAAGGGGCAGAUAAACGCGUGUGCGCGCGGGCAGGGGAAAUGUGUGCGGUGAGCAGGGAGAGGGGUGGAUGCAGGUGUGCAUCGGUAGGAGUGCGGGACAGACAGACAGACGGACAGCCCACACGCCAGGGGCACCACCCAGCACCCCAGCACCCCUUGCCCACAGCCAGCAGGAUGAGUCCCCUGACACAGGCAGCAGUCCGAGCGGUGCGCUCUGCGCAGGGCUGCGGGCAAGCAGCACGCGGUGCGUGCCACCAGCACCAGCACUGCCGGGCACGUCUCGCCCGGCCCCGCUCAUCCUCACCCCUCCGUGCAGCCCCCCCAUGGUUUGAUGCCCUUUUGGCGGGGCCAGGCUGGCCCCGGGCAGUGCCACGGCGGUGGCCGCGCAGAGGUGGCACAGCGCCUGGCUGCCUCCUGCUCUCGGGGCCAGGGGACACCGCGGUGUGCCCCGGCCAAAACCCUCAGCUGGAGAGCAGGGAUCAGGGCCGGCCACGGGGCUGGGGGAAACGGGGCUCUGAAGGGAGCGGGAGGCUGGAGGCACGGACAGACGGACAGGCAGGACAGACACACAGGCAGGCGGGGACAGAGGGCUUCAGGGACACGGCCGAGAUGUCUGUGGGUGUAAAGAGCGGCACAAACCCAGGGAGAAAUGUGCGUGGGGGGGAUGGAUACACAAGAGAUCUGUGGGGCAGCCGUGCCUGCAGGCGUCGAGGGGAGAGGGCCGAGGGUGCCCCCCAGCUCCCCGCAGCCCCCCAGCUGCUCGGCGGCCUCGGCCCCUCGGCGGCCUCGGUCCCACCCCGGUGCGGGGAGGCCGGGGCCGAGCCGAGGUUUCCGUCCCGGCGGCCGCUGGCCCUGCCUCCUCCCCGCUCCCACAUCUGCAGCUGGAAUUGCAAUUUGAACCGCUGCCGGGGCUGGGCCGGGCGGGAGCGGGGAGCGGAGGAAGGCGCUUCGGGAAGCCAGAGCGAAGCGCAGGGCGGCGGGGCCGGGCACGGGCAGGCGGGGGCUGGAGCUGCUGGGCAUCGCCAGCGGCCGUGGGCAGGAGGACAUCGACAGCAGCACCCAGGGUACCGGCAGCACCCAGGGUACCGGCAGCAGGAGCCACAGGAGCAGCUGGAGCGAGAAGGCGGUGGCCGGCCCAGGGGUCCCCCCGCUGCCCCCGCCGCAGAGGUGAGCUCCUGCGGGGUUCGCGGUGGGACCUGGGGACCUCCGAGCGGCACCACCCGAAGCGUGGGGUCAGGGGGACCUGGCACUGCCUGGCUGCGGGCUGGGCCACGGGGAAGGUGUCACAGCCGGGACGCCGGAGGUGUCUCCCCAGUUUGGGGACGCUGGCGAGUGAGUGCCGCGGAGCUGGGGAGGGCUGGGAUGGGUCGGGUCCUAUCCCCAGCCCGGAGCUGCGGGCAGGGAGCACGGGUGGGAGUGGGGAUGGCUGUUUGUAACCCCCUGAGCCUCCAUGGGCCCUGUCCCCCCCCACACCCCAUCCUGCGGGGACACCACCAUGACCCGUGGGGACAACACGGUGACAGCCCAGCACCUUGCGGUGCCAGCAGGAGGCUGCGAGUGGCUCAGGGAGCGCCAUGCUGGGGCACCCGGCAGUGGCCAAGCGAUGGCAGCGGGAAGGGGAGGACUCCCAUAAACCGUGGAGCUCUGCCCAGAGGAUCUGGGGGCUCCCCAAGCCCAGCAGCCCCGUCUCUGGGGUCACUGCACCCCCACAGCCUCGCAGCUGCCCUGAGACCCCCAGGCUUGUGCAGGUGGAGCUGCGGGGCCCCCCGCGCCCGCCGGUGCUGGUGUUCCCGUGCCGCGCUCCGUGCGGACACGCCAGCACCCCGCGGUGCCCGGCCCGCUCUGCCUGCCUCCCCGAGCCCUCCCAGCCUCGUUUCCUUUCCCCGUUUCCCUGAGCCCCCGCAGAAGCGGAAGCGGCAGAGAGCCCUCAAAACUGCUGCUGCUGCACAAUUCGCCGCGAGCGAGCUCUGGGAGCCGCUGGCACCCUCCCCGGCAGGGGUUGCGGGGUCUGGUCAGGCUCGUGGGGCACCCCAAAGCUGUGCCAGCACCCGGCGGGUGCGGGGGACAAGUGUCCCGGUGCUGCACAAGGACAGGGGCCACCAGCCAGGCGAGCCCCGAUGCCACAGCUCGGUUUGUGGAGCUGGAGGACUUCAGCCACCCGCAGCCUGGGGCUCUGCUGCGGCUCCCGACCGACCGACCGAGAGUGUCCCACGGCCACCAAGGGCAAGGAAAUGA
rnacentral:lncRNA from 1 species